CCUACGGGAGGCUGCAGUGGGGGAUAUUGCACAAUGGGGGGAACCCUGAUGCAGCGACGCCGCGUGGGUGAAGAAGCGCCUCGGCGCGUAAAGCCCUGUCAGCAGGGAAGAAAAUGACGGUACCUGACGAAGAAGCCCCGGCUAACUACGUGCCAGCAGCCGCGGUAAUACGUAGGGGGCAAGCGUUAUCCGGAUUUACUGGGUGUAAAGGGGGCGUAGACGGGGAUGCAAGCCAGGAGUGAAAGCCCGGGGCCCAACCCCGGGACUGCUCUUGAAACUGCGGUGCUGGAGUGCAGGAGGGGCAGGCGGAAUGCCUGGUGUAGCGGUGAAAUGCGUAGAUAUCAGGAGGAACACCGGUGGCGAAGGCGGCCUGCUGGACUGCAACUGACGUUGAGGCCCGAAAGCGUGGGGAGCAAACAGGAUUAGAUACCCUAGUAGUC
rnacentral:rRNA from 1 species